AGCGAACGCUGGCGGCAGGCCUAACACAUGCAAGUCGAGCGCCCCGCAAGGGGAGCGGCAGACGGGAGAGUAACACGUGGGAACGUACCCUUUGGUUCGGAACAACCCAGGGAAACUUGGGCUAAUACCGGAUAAGCCCUUACGGGGAAAGAUUCAUCGCCGAAGGAUCGGCCCGCGUCUGAUUAGCUAGUUGGUGGGGUAACGGCCCACCAAGGCGACGAUCAGUAGCUGGUCUGAGAGGAGGAUCAGCCUCACGGGGACUGAGACACGGCCCAGACUCCUACGGGAGGCAGCAGUGGGGAAUAUUGGAAAAGGGGCGCAAGCCUGAUCCAGCCAUGCCGCGUGGGUGAUGAAGGCCCGAGGGUUGUAAAGCCCUUUCGGCGGGGAAGAUAAUGACGGUACCCGCAGAAGAAGCGCCGGCUAACUUCGUGCCAGCCGCCGCCGUAACAC
rnacentral:rRNA from 1 species